rnacentral:hammerhead_ribozyme from 1 species
GAGUCCCAAAUAGGAUGAAACGUGCGUCCUGGAU